AUGGCACCUGGGAAAGGCGAGCUGGGCAGUGUGGCCCUUAGGGGACAGAGCCCAGGCCCCCAGAAACACUGGCCCCUCCUGCUGCUGGGCCUGACCGUGGGCGCCCAUGGCCUGCUGCCUUCCCCAGAAGCACCCAGGACCACAGCCGUGGGCCCAGGACCCCCAGCAGGAAGUAGCUCCUGGAGCCUGUGGGACAGGUUUCUGCUCUGGCUCAACACCCAGAGGGCGGGCCCCAGGUGCUGGUCCAGCAGGCUGUGGCCCGAGUCAUGGUAUGUCUUUGGUGCAGGGACCCAGCUCUUCGUCCUCGGCCAGCCCAGUUCCACACCCGUGGUCACUCUGUUCCCACCCUCCUCGGAGGAACUCAGGAUCCACAAGGCCACGCUGGUAUGUCUGAUCAGUGACUUCUACCCCCGCACCCUGACGGUGGCCUGGAAGGCGGACAGCCGCCCCAUCACGCAGGGCGUGGUGACCUCGGAGCCCUUGCAGCAGAGAAACCUCAAGUAUGUGGCCAGCAGCUUCCUGAGCCUGUCCACGGAGCGGUGGCGCUCUCACCGCCAAAUCAGCUGUGAGAUCACACACCAGGGCGGAACCGUAAAGAAGACGGUGGCUGCCUCAGAAUGCCCAUAG